rnacentral:tRNA from 1 species
GGGGCUGAAUGGGGUACUGGUGUCCUCCACGGUCUUCAAAACCGUUUGAGCGGCUCGUGCAGUCGCUGCUGGGUUCGAUUCCCAGGUGGUCCCGCCA